GGGACCGGGAUCGGGAUCAAGACCGGGAUCGGGAUCAACACCAGGACCGGGAUCGGGAUCGGGAUCGGGAUCGGGAUCGAGACCAGGACCGGGAUCGGGAUCAGGACCGGGAUCGGGCCCCGCCGCCCCCCCCGCCCCAAGCAGAGCCCCCCCGCCCCCCCCCAAGCCCCGGGGCACCAGGAGGGUUUUUUUGGGGGGUCCCUUGGGAGAAAGGGGUCGGGCAGGGCCCCCCCGGGCUGCCCCGAGCAGUGGAGGGCACCCCGGGUCCUGGUGUCCUUCGUGGUGCUGGGGGAGGUGGUGACAGGCUCCCCUUGGGUGCCAGGCACCCUUGGGUGCUGUGCACCCCAUGGAGCGGGGGUGCUGGGUGCUGUGCGGGACCCCAGCCCCACAGCCUGGAGGAGUGGGACCACCGGUGCCAGGCUUCCUCCCCUGCCCACCGUCGGGUGCCUUCACGGACACGGACACAGACCCCUAGGCACAGGUCACCCCCACAAAGGGAUCCCCGCAGCCCAGUGGCACCACGGGACGGGGCUGGCACGAGGGGUCCUGGUGGUCCCCAGGACCCUGGCUCAGCAGCAGAGCUGUCUCGGUGCCACUUCUGGGCUGGGACACCACGGCUCAGCCACCUGUGACAGUCCCCAGCUCUGUCCCCUCUGCCCCCUUCCCUCCAGCACAGCCGGGUGCUGCCGCCCCGCAUGGGGCACUGCACCUCCCCAGGGGCACGCGGGCAGGUUUCCAUCGCCAAAAGUCCCCUGAGACGCAUCGUAGGUCCUUGUGCCCUCGUCACCGGGCUCUGGGCAAGGCCAAAGCCUUUCCGGAGAUCCCCGAAACAAGCAGGGAGAACUCAGCAUCACCCCGGGGGGCGAGGGGGACACUACAACACCCGCCUUUGUCCUCCUGCCCAGGGAGCAUUCGAGGCGAGGAGCGAGGGCCCCAGGAGAGCAGGAGGAGGUGGCUGCAGCGCCAGGACGUGUCCUGUCACGGAGCGGGGCGAGCAAGCCGAGGCAGGCAGGGAGCUGAAGCAAGCGUCCUCGGGUGCCUGCAUCCAGCCCAGUAGGAGGGGAGAGGAGAACCGGUGCGAGCAGAGCAUGGCCCUGGCACUCAGCAAGACGCGAGCAGCACCCGAAAGCCACUACGAAACGGGGAGCUGCAGCGGCUGGCCCCGCUGCCGGCCCCGCUGCCCAGGAUGAAGGCGGCCCAGCCUCUGCUGAAACUGGCCCGAAGCUACGGCAGCUGCGCUGUGCUUGGGACUUCGCACCUGAAGCACAAGGGGAUGGCUACAUAGCAGUGUGUAGCCCAUAAACAGGAGAAAAGAGUAGGAAAAUAGCUUUUGAAAUCAUAGAAGACGUCGAUAUAAAAGGUAGUGCCAAGGAGAGGUCUGUACUGACCCAGUUUCUUGUUCUGCACAGCUCAGAAGAAAGGCAGCAGCACAGAAGUAGGGUCAAGCCAGCAAGAAGAUAGAGCCAAGGGGUCCCCGGGUCCUCCCACCCCGCUCCAUCUGCCGCUCCAUUCAUCCGCAAAGCACAAGGAACCUGGCAAAUCUCUUGCUAUAAACCAGAUUUGUCUUUGUAAGCUUUGAAAUAAACCCGAGGAUUAAAGUCUAAGGACUUUUUUUUUUUUUUUUAAGUCAGCAACACACAUGAAAGAGCGCAUGGGUCCAUGCGAAGCCCGGAGCACGGCACAAUGCGGGGGGAGGUGAUUUGUGCUGCAGCAGCAGCCGGGGGCCCCUGGAAGAGGCUGCAUAAACACACAGCACGAGCCCGUCCGCGCAGAGCUUUAUUGCUUCAAACACACCUGUGCUGCCAGCCAGCAAACGCCCUCGGAGCGUGUGGGCACGGUCAUCACCAGCGUAAAAUUAGGAAGCAAACAAAGCCAUCAGCACAGAAGACACCUUCAUGCAAAUACACCGGGAAAAGGUAAAGUGAGACCAAACCCACGACUUUUCUGCCGUGGCAAAGCCCAGGAGGCCCAAGCAGAGCUGGCAACCCAACUGAGCGAGCAGGGAGCAGGGAGAAGGGGCUGUGCCCCCGGCCAGCAGAAGGAUCACAUUAAAAAGCACUUGGAUGGCAUCGCCCAGACCUGAGUCACAGGACGACAACGGCAGCAAGAGGUGUCCUGUCCUCCAGCCUGCCAAGAAUAGCACUGAGAGCAGGCGCGGUGUGCUCGCCGGUAGGGCUAGCAGUGCUCGCACAGUGCCGCCCUGGCCUCGGCCAACAGGUUCCCCUGGUCCCCCCUGCUCCGCAAGUGGAUGAAGUAAGCGUGGCACCAUCCUCCGAAUUCAGGUCCUCCAUUUGUUCCUGAUCACCGGGGCUCUCCUCGCAGCUUAGGGCCUUUGUCUGGCGUGUUCCUAUGGGCUGACACAGGCCCAGCUCCCCCAAAUCAGAUUGUCUUCGUUAAGCCCUUCCAAUAAGAGAUUUCCUGUGGAGCUCAAGGGCCUCUAAGCGGGUUACGUGCCCAUAACUUCUGGCCCUGUUACGAGACGGGCAGGCUUAAAGACGGGGCAGGAGACCUAAUGCACGCCUUCCAACUGCUUUGAGGAGCCGGAGAGUAAACAAACAAUUAGAAAAUAAAAUUCAUUUUAAAAAGCGAAGUCAGAGCUGCUUUAAUGUCAUUCUGGCUAGAUUAGUUUCCGCCCUGUGUUUAGCUGGAAAUGGCUGAGAGCAUUUAGAUUUCAAUUUAAAAAAAAAAAAAAAAAACACACCAAAACAAUAAACCUCGCCAUAGCAAUCGGCCAGACCAGCUUUGGGACUGGUUGGGCAGGAAUGAGGCGUUCAGAUAGGCUUCCAAACGCUCUGUUUAUCCAAAGGAGGUUCGAAACCAGUCAAGCUGGAAGCUUUACAAUAAAAGGGGAGCGUUUGGCUUUCAAUCAAGGGUUAAAACUCGGCACGGCCAGACCGAGCUGCUCACGGGGACUUGGGCUUUGCAGGAGUCAGCAGCUCCGGGUGUUUGUGUACACCUAAAAGGCAGCUGUUCCCACGCUCUGCUUUGAGCUGGUAGUUUUGGAGGGGGCACCUUUCUCACCACGGUGGGCUGAAGUUCCUGAGGCAUCCGACACAAAACCCAGCUUCUGAAUAUCCUUUGGGUCAGCCGCCAGUCAUAUAGUCAUGAAUCCGCGCCCCCCGUUAUCAGCAGCGAAAUAGUUACAUGCAGAAUUAACGUUUUAAAUCCUCCCGAUUAGAUGUGUCCCACAGCUUGCUAAAUUAGCUGUCACUUCUCCCGGUUGGGUCCCUCCCAAUUACCCUAGCGUUUGAGAAGGAUUUUAAGGUUAGCCGUGUGGAUUUGGGAAGGCGAGGGCUGGCUGUCUUUAUGUUAAGGGGAAAAAAAAAAAAAAGGCUCUCUUCUGAACUGUAAAAAUAAUAGAUGGACUGGCCCCGUUCAAAUCUCAUUAUCUGGCUCUGCCGGAGAAGGCGCAGACAUCGGGAUCGUGCUGCCAGCAGCCACCUGGUUGCUAGCACUGGGUAAGCGCAGUCACUGGGAAUCUAAGGGGAAAAAAAGCCCAGGGGUAAGCAGGGCUGGUGUGUUUAAUCAUGGCUGUAAUUGGUAACCCAGGUCUGACCCCAGAAACAGGCCUAGCAGGCAGGGUAAACAAUAAAGCAAGAGUCUGAUGCCCAGCCUACACUUAGAGCUAAUAAGUCCUUUCAAAACACGCGGUUGUGAAAUAAGACUGAGCGAACCGUGUGAAACGCAUCGGAGAGGGGGAAGGAUAGGGGCAGACAACAAAGCCUCUUUAACCUGUUAGCUCCCUGGGUUGGCCCCUGGUUUUGCAGCACGCAUGGGUUCCUGGCAGCCCAGAGCUCAGCCAGGAGAAGUGCUGAGCAUCUUCUCGCCAGGCCGAGCUCCUGGAAGCUCACCAGCCCUCGUGCCUCCACGGCGUGCGCUGUGCUGUGCCCCCUGCCACCUAUUUUGGGGCCUGAAUGCGUUUUGGCAGCCGGGUCCUGUGCUGGGCCUGCCUGUGCCGCCUGUAACCAGCCGCCCUCCCUCCACCAGCAUCCGCAGCGUGGAUGGGACAUGCGGAGACACGCCCCGGGCAUGUCGGGGCAGCUCCGUUUGCAGGCUCUCAGGACACUAAAUAUUCCCCUCUGCCUCAUCCGCAGAGGGUACGGGGGCUGAGGGCUGGAUGCCCUCCAGCGUUUGAGCACAGCAGCUUUUGUAGCACGAGCCCGGGGCUUCAGCGACUGCCCGCAGCGAUCCAGGAGAUGCCUUCCUCACAACAACCUCCCUCUGAGCCUCCUUUUUUAUUGCAGGCCGUUGUUUCCUCAUGGAAAACAACCUAUCUGACCUGCUGCGAAUGUCACAUCUGUUCGGGAGUAUUUUAGGAAGCAAACAUUGCUGCACUCGAGGGAGCUGCAACCACAGUAAUUGCUUUUUCUUCGAAUUUCUGAGGACUUUGGGCCUAGUUUUCCAACGGUGCUGAGCACUCGCUGGCUCCAGCUGCCUUAAGUGCACUCUGGAGGUUUUCUCCUUGGCCUUACUAGCUUCUCGCUGAACCCAUGUUGACAGAGCCUUGUGUAAGGAGACAUUUGUUCAAAGCCCGACCUUACUGGCUGGAGGAGAAGCCUCAGACAAUAGUUCCUCUCGAAGCUGCCAUGUCGGGGAAGGUAUGUCGAUGACCUCACGCUGAUUUCACAGAUGGUUUCCUGUUCUCUGCAUUUGGUUAUUGUUUUUUUCCACAUCCUCUUUGCAGGAUGCCACUGCCUCCGCCUACCUCUGUUCCUGUCGAGCAAAGCUGGAGGGGGUUGAAGGGGGCAAGAGAAGAGGUCCGGCAGGGCGCUCAGCGCGGCGACAGGCCCAGAGCAGGGUGGGAAUGGAGGACUUUGCACGGGCACGUCCAGAGAAAGUCUCCAGCUGUAAAGCCUGGAACGGGCUUGUUAGCUCCUGAGAUAAAAACGAGUUCAGAGCCCUGGCUUGCUCUCAGAAAUGGAGCAAGGAUCAGUGGGGCUCCGGGAGGAAGGCAGCGUCCCGCUCCACCCCUCUGCCCUCCAGCAGCCCUUGGCGCUGCCACGUCCCCGCAGCGCAGCAAGGUGAACAGCUCGUGUGAGACAUGGGUGUGUGCACAGUGCCCUUAUUGCAGCACCCCGGGGUGUGUCUGCCCCAGAAAGUCCCCGAACGCAUAUUAGCUCCAGUCAAAACAUGAUUUUCCUCCCCGUAGCUGGGGAUUCGCAACCGGUGGCGAACCCACCAAUGCCACAGGACACAGGAGCCAAAUCCUCC